GGUGGUCCCACCUGACCCCAUGCCGAACUCAGAAGUGAAACGCCGUAGCGCCGAUGGUAGUGUGGGGCUUCCCCAUGUGAGAGUAGGGAACUGCCAGGC
rnacentral:rRNA from 1 species